rnacentral:rRNA from 1 species
UACAGAGGUCUCAAGCGUUGUUCGGAUUCAUUGGGCGUAAAGGGUGCGUAGGCGGCGCGGUAAGUCGGGUGUGAAAUCUUGGAGCUUAACUCCGAAACUGCAUUCGAUACUGCCGUGCUUGAGGACUGGAGAGGAGACUGGAAUUUACGGUGUAGCGGUGAAAAUGCGUAGAUAUCAGGAGGAACACCGGUGGCGAAAGGGCGGGGUCUCUGGGGCCCGAAAAUUUGACGCUGAGGGAGCGAAAAGCGUGGGGGGAGCAAAACAGG